rnacentral:misc_RNA from 1 species
CAACAGCAGUGUCGACAUCAGGAGCGCCAUCAAAAUAAACGAGGCAGGUUCCUCAUUGCGACCAUGGAGAGAGAGAACGGUCGCAGUUCCUCCAACGUCGUUGCCCAGACUCCCCCUGUUCAUCGGGGGGAGUCCAGAACUGUCCCCUGGGACAGCGCGGCCUCCCACCGCCCCCGGGGUCCCAGGGGACCCAGUCCCCGAGGACAUGUCUUCGGGGAUGCGGUAUCCCCGCUGGAGGGGAUGCCAUAUCCCGAGAGACAUGUCC